GGCUUUGCGCAGUGGCAGUAUCGUAGCCAAUGAGGUUUAUCCGAGGUGCGCUUAUUGCUAAUUGGAAGAAAGAAAGAAAGAAAAUC
rnacentral:snRNA from 1 species